rnacentral:rRNA from 1 species
UACGGAGGGUGCGAGCGUUGUCCGGAAUCACUGGGCGUAAAGGGCGCGUAGGCGGCCUGAUAAGUAGGGGGUGAAAUCUUGCGGCUUAACCGCAAGGCUGCCUUCUAAACUGUCGGGCUAGAGCACAGUAGAGGCAGGUGGAAUUCCCGGUGUAGCGGUGGAAUGCGUAGAUAUCUGGAGGAAUACCGGUGGCGAAGGCGGCAUCCUGGAC